AUUGAACGCUGGCGGCAGGCUUAACACAUGCAAGUCGAGCGGGGGAAGGUGGCUUGCUACUGGACCUAGCGGCGGACGGGUGAGUAAUGCUUAGGAAUCUGCCUAUUAGUGGGGGACAACACCUCGAAAGGGAUGCUAAUACCGCAUAGGUCAUCCGGGAGAAAGCAGGGGAUCUUGGGCCAUUGCGGAAAUGGGUCACCUUAAGUCGGAUUAGCUAGUUGGUGGGGUAAAGGCCUACCAAGGCGACGAUCUGUAGCGGGUCUGAGAGGAUGAUCCGCCACACUGGGACUGAGACACGGCCCAGACUCCUACGGGAGGCAGCAGUGGGGAAUAUUGGACAAUGGGGGGAACCCUGAUCCAGCCAUGCCGCGUGUGUGAAGAAGGCCUUAUGGUUGUAAAGCACUUUAAGCGAGGAGGAGGCUACUUUAGUUAAUACCUAGAGAUAGUGGACGCUACUCGCAGAAUAAGCACCGGCUAACUCUGUGCCAGCCGCCGCCGUAACAC
rnacentral:rRNA from 1 species